UACGUAGGGUGCGAGCGUUGUCCGGAAUUCUUGGGCGUAAAGAGCUCGUAGGCGGUCUGUCGCGUCGGACGUGAAAACUUGGGGCUUAACCCUGAGCUUGCGGUCGAUACGGGCAUGACUGGAGUUCGGCAGGGGAGACUGGAAUUCCUGGUGUAGCGGUGAAAUGCGCAGAUAUCAGGAGGAACACCGGUGGCGAAGGCGGGUCUCUGGGCCGAUACUGACGCUGAGGAGCGAAAGCGUGGGGAGCGAACAGG
rnacentral:rRNA from 1 species